CGCCUACGGGCGGCUGCAGUGAGGAAUAUUGCACAAUGGGGGAAACCCUGAUGCAGCAACGCCGCGUGGGUGAAGAAGGCUUUCGAGUUGUAAAACCCUUUACUGUGGGAUGAGCAAGGACAGUACCACAGCAACAAGUCUCGGCUAACUACGUGCCAGCAGCCGCGGUGAGACGUAGGAGGCGAGCGUUAUCCGGAUUCACUGGGCGUAAAGGGCAAGUAGGCGGUUGUUCAAGUUGGGCGUGACAGAUCUCGGCUUAACGGGGAAAGGUCGUCCAAUACUGAGCGACUAGAGGGCAGGAGAGGAAAGUGGAACUCCCGAUGUAGCGGUGGAAUGCUCAGAUAUCGGGAAGAACACCAGUGGCGAAGGCGGCUUUCUGGCCUGUACCUGACGCUGAGAGGCGAAAGCUAGGGGAGCGAACGGGAUUAGAUACCCCUGUAGUCU
rnacentral:rRNA from 1 species